UUAGCGGCGGACGGGUGAGUAACACGUGGAUAACCUACCUAUAAGACUGGGAUAACUUCGGGAAACCGGAGCUAAUACCGGAUAAUAUUUUGAACCGCAUGGUUCAAAAGUGAAAGACGGUCUUGCUGUCACUUAUAGAUGGAUCCGCGCUGCAUUAGCUAGUUGGUAAGGUAACGGCUUACCAAGGCAACGAUGCAUAGCCGACCUGAGAGGGUGAUCGGCCACACUGGAACUGAGACACGGUCCAGACUCCUACGGGAGGCAGCAGUAGGGAAUCUUCCGCAAUGGGCGAAAGCCUGACGGAGCAACGCCGCGUGAGUGAUGAAGGUCUUCGGAUCGUAAAACUCUGUUAUUAGGGAAGAACAUAUGUGUAAGUAACUGUGCACAUCUUGACGGUACCUAAUCAGAAAGCCACGGCUAACUACGUGCCAGCAGCCGCGGUAAUACGUAGGUGGCAAGCGUUAUCCGGAAUUAUUGGGCGUAAAGCGCGCGUAGGCGGUUUUUUAAGUCUGAUGUGAAAGCCCACGGCUCAACCGUGGAGGGUCAUUGGAAACUGGAAAACUUGAGUGCAGAAGAGGAAAGUGGAAUUCCAUGUGUAGCGGUGAAAUGCGCAGAGAUAUGGAGGAACACCAGUGGCGAAGGCGACUUUCUGGUCUGUAACUGACGCUGAUGUGCG
rnacentral:rRNA from 1 species